UUGGAGCUGACAGCAGAGCUUUCUCAAGAAUGGUAAUUGGCGUGAUUCAGCAUGGUUGUGUCUUCUCUCUCUCCUUUUUUUGGGCAAUGUUGCUCUUUCGCUUAUCCAGAUAUAUCCUCUACUUCCAGCUUAUCUAUUUAGUUUAGGGUUAGAUAUACAGAACAACAAAUGCUUCUCUGCCGCUUCUCCUCUCCGCCAUUUUUCUCACCAAAAUUAUACAACCAAAAUCUUCAGCAGCGAUUCCUUAUUUUUGUCAGUUUGCAGCUUUGUUAGGCGAUGGCAAUUGGAGAAGCUGGUAUUGAAAUCCUCCGAAAUGUGUUGUGGGCAUCAUUUCUAGCUCAAAGUUUGAGAUUUUUGGUUGACCUUUGCAUCGAUUUUGGGAAACUGUUAUCAACAUAAUCCAGCAUGGUACUGUUUUGGGUGGAGUUGGUGGGCUGGCAUUUUUUCUUCACUACAAUGACGAGAAAAGGACCAUCGUUAAAGAUUUUAUUACUUCGACGUUGUAAUCACUUCAAAGUCUGAAACUGAAGUUCUUCUCCUGCAUUUUAUGAAAUACUAGCCAAAGGAUUUGUAUAACUCCCUAGGUGUUAGUAUUGCAAUUGUAACUGUUGACCAAAAAAGGUAUACAUUUGUUUGUGUAUGAAAGAGAGAGACAGAUAGAGUGUGUGUGUGUGAGAGAGAAAGAGAGAGUGACAAAUUGUGUAUGUUCUAUCUCUCUCUGUCUCUCACUAUUGGUUGUUUAUCCAUCUUUGCACGGUGUACAACACAUUCACACACACACUCUCUCAUAGUUUAUCUCUUCUAUUUCCAUAGUUGCAUAGUCACAAUAUUCGAACUCGAUUUGAC